rnacentral:rRNA from 1 species
UACGAAGGGGGCUAGCGUUGCUCAGAAUCACUGGGCGUAAAGGGUGCGUAGGCGGGUCUUUAAGUCAGGGGUGAAAUCCUGGAGCUCAACUCCAGAACUGCCUUUGAUACUGAGGAUCUUGAGUACGGGAGAGGUGAGUGGAACUGCGAGUGUAGAGGUGAAAUUCGUAGAUAUUCGCAAGAACACCAGUGGCGAAGGCGGCUCACUGGCCCGUAACUGACGCUGAGGCACGAAAGCGUGGGGAGCAAACAGG